rnacentral:lncRNA from 10 species
UGUGAAUGUAGCUGUGUAUGUGAAUGUGUAGAUGUGUAUGUAGUUUCCAUGUACACAUCCUUUUUACAAAUGGCAUAGAAAGAUGAAAUGCUCUACUCAGACAGGAACCCGGAAGAGGAUAAAUGCCACUGCCCAGGCUGAAGAGCAGAAUCAGCAAGUGAGCACAGGAUGCCUAGAGUGUCACCGCUCUGGGAUGGGAUCUUCGAACUCUGCCCAGGGCACUCUUAGGCUUUCCCUCUGUCCUGCUCAGCAGCAUGGGGCCAGGGACAAAUGCACAAUCAGUAAUGCCAGGAAGCUCAUCCCAAAGAGGACACAGCUCCCUCCAACCUCCCUCCUUCCUGUUUAAUUUGCAAGCUUAUACUUGCUCCUCCUGUAAUCUGACCCAGAAGAUGGAAAUUCAAAGUCCCGUUGCAUGCUUGUCAGUCAUUUGACAUCUCUGAACUUAGCUUCCUUAACUUCCCAAUGUGGCGAUGACUGAGUCUUUAUCAAUAUGUCUCAUUAAUGACCUUUUGCAAGAGACCUCUUAAAUUAAGUCAAAUAGGCCUCUAAUUUGCCUGCUCUGUUGAUGUCUCAAAACAUCAGACAUUCACCUGCCACCUGCUGGGAAGAGGUGCAGGUGGGAUGGACAUUAGGACACAUUGCCCUUAGCAACCAGGUAUAAGGAGUAAGCAUCAAGGGACAGUCAUUCUUUCCUCAGCUGGAGAUCAUUGAAUCCACCAUAAGCUGCUGAUCAUGAGACCACGUGGCUGGGAGGCCACCUGAUGCAGCAGCAGCCCCCGCACUGACUCUGGGGCUCUGCUGGGGGAAGCCUGCAGCUCCUGGAAUCCUCACAACCACUGGGAGCGAGGUGCCGUAAGGAGGCGGAGUCUCAGACAGAGUCUCAGAUGGUCAAGGACCCUGCUCCAGGGUGGAGGAGACCCUGGAAACACAUCCAGCUCAUGCCAGGGUCCAGUAUCCAUCCGGGACAGAAAGCUGCCUCCCUCCUUCCGGGACAGAAAGCUGCGUCCUCAGCAACAGGCAGAAAGUGACAGCCUCCUCCCAUCGCCGUCACUCCUGCUCUCGUCAGACACCCAUCCCUGGACCGCCAGACCCCCGGCUACCACCCCAUCCUGCUCUUUCCUGAUCUGCAGCCCCCCACACCCAUCACUUGCUGACCAAGGACAAAGAUUUGAGUUUUCAAGUAGCAAUGUCUGUUCUCAAAGGACAACCAAAGUGCUGCUCGUCACCCACUUCCGUGAUCUCAAGUCCUUGUGGCCAUCACUGACCUCAGCUAGAUCAGGCCAGAAGUGUCUAUAAUACAACCACGUGUAUUUCACCAUGCCUCCAAUUCCCAUUAGAAGCUUUUUCCUGAUAUACUCUGAAGACUGGCUAUUGUUAUCUUUGUGAUUUGCCUGACAGGUAAAGAAAUUUUAAAAUAAAGUUUUUUGUGUCCUCCAGGAACAAAAUCAUGCAUGGUGUAGGGUUCAGGAAGCACAUAACUCAUCCUGAAGUGAACUCUCUUUGAUAUAUUUACUGUGAUAUCUCAUGGUUGGCACAGGCAUUCACCUUCUAGAAUCACCAAGGAGAACCAAAACCAAGAGUG